UGGGCCGAAGCUUUCCCCUAGUGUCUGAGACUCAGUGUGUGUGCGCAUGUGUGUAUACAUGUGUAUAUAAGGAAGUCACAGAUGAGGCUUUCUAGACCUUUUCUUUACUAGUCAUGUGGGUUGUAUUUCAGCCAUGCAAAGCCUUUUGUGCUAUUCUGUCCAAGUUGCAGUCAGCAGAUGCCGGCAGACCAGAUGUCCUUGAAGCAGGCAGCAAGGCUUCGUGCAACGCUGACGGCCUCUCAGCUUGUCCCUGGACACUCUUCUCAGAACUCUG
rnacentral:lncRNA from 1 species